ACUAGUGGCGGACGGGUGAGUAACGCGUGGGUAACCUACCUCAGUACAGGGGGAUAACAGUUGGAAACGACUGCUAACACCGCAUAACAAGUUGGACCGCAUGAUCCUAACUUCAAAGUAUUUAUAGGGUAUGAGAUGGGCCCGCGUCUGGAUUAGCUAGUUGGUGGGGUAAUGGCCUACCAAGGCGACGAUCAGUAGCCGGCUUGAGAGAGUGACCGGCCACAUUGGGACUGAGACACGGCCCAAACUCCUACGGGAGGCAGCAGUGGGGAAUAUUGGACAAUGGGGGCAACCCUGAUCCAGCGAACCGCCGCGUGAGUGAAGAAGUAUUUCGGUAUGUAAAGCUCUAUCAGCAGGGAAGAUAAUGACAGUACCUGACUAAGAAGCCCCGGCUAACUACGUGCCAGCCGCUGC
rnacentral:rRNA from 1 species